rnacentral:tRNA from 1 species
UGCCCCAUGGCUGAGUUGGUUACAGCGUCCGACUGUUAAGUAAGCUAUUAGCUAAUGGAUUUCCGUUGGCAAAUGAAUUACACGAUUGGGCGAUCGGAAGGUCGUGAGUUCGAGCCUCAUUGGGGCAG